rnacentral:rRNA from 1 species
GACGAACGCUGGCGGCGUGCCUAAUACAUGCAAGUCGAGCGAAUCUUUAGGAGCUUGCUCCUGAAGAUUAGCGGCGGACGGGUGAGUAACACGUGGGCAACCUGCCUGUAAGACUGGGAUAACUUCGGGAAACCGGAGCUAAUACCGGAUAAUCCUUUCCUUCACAUGAAGGAAAGCUGAAAGACGGUUUCGGCUGUCACUUACAGAUGGGCCCGCGGCGCAUUAGCUAGUUGGUGAGGUAACGGCUCACCAAGGCGACGAUGCGUAGCCGACCUGGGAGGGUGAUCGGCCACACUGGGACUGAGAGACGGCCCAGUCUACUACGGGAGGCAGCAGUAGGGAAUCUUCCGCAAUGGACGAAAGUCUGACGGAGCAACGCCGCGUGAGCGAAGAAGGCCUUCGGGUCGUAAAGCUCUGUUGUCAGGGAAGAACAAGUACCGGAGUAACUGCCGGUACCUUGACGGUACCUGACCAGAAAGCCACGGCUAACUACGUGCCAGCAGCCGCCGUAAUAC